AUUUCACCCUGCUCUGCAAUUCCAAUAUGGAUAUGAUGGUUGCAGCUAAAUAUACCAGCCAACGGUCUUCUUUUUUAACCCUUUUUAUACAGACCUAUCAACUUAGCUAUUCUCCUAUUUAUAUAUAUAUACACCUAACCCACCCCACCUAAUGUAGACUCUCUUUCUUGGUCUUCGGUUUGAUCGCUCCACUCUGCUGCCACCCGCUUCUUUCUCUGGCCUCAAGCAACGCCAGCGAACUACUUCAUACUCUCUCCCACAAUGACUCUCGGCAGUG
rnacentral:misc_RNA from 1 species